ensembl:lncRNA
UACAUAUAUAAAAUCUCUCUCUCUCUCUAUAUAUAUAUAUAUAUAGAUACACACACACACACACACACAUAUAUAUGUAUAUAUACAUACUAUAUUCAUAUCUAUAUAUGCAUUCUAUAUUCAUAUAUCUAUAUAUAUAUAUAUUUUUUUUUUUUGGGUGACUUAUUCUUUUAACAAUAAACAAACAAACAAUCAAUCACCACCAGUAUUAGUUUAACAACUCCUAGAGUUAAAAUACACAUUCAUGUAUGUAUUAAAGGAAAAAAUGUCUACUUUAUCCCUCAUCAAGACAAUUAAACUCUCAUCUCUCCAGAUGCGCUGAAUGGUUAUGUCUGUUUUGGUAUUUGUUAUAAAAUCACACCAACUCAGUCCUGUUACUGCAAGCUGUCCCUGAACUUGCCAGUAGUAUUUGUGGCUUUCCUUUAGCUUUGCUUGACCGUUGACAAAUUUUAUGUGUGUCACCUGAGAAAUGUCAUCAACAUCAGGGCAUUUUACCUCUGCAAGUCCAAAGGGAGGGUUCACAGUAGGGUCGUAGACUCUGCCAUCAGGGCUUGUGCCAAGGUGUGGCGCAUCAGGAUGUACAACAAACCCACACUGUAAAAAACUGACAUUCAUCAUACCAGAGUACUGAAAUAGCACUUCAGGCUCAAGAUCCAGUCCACGCUUCAUUGCAGAAGUCUGACGAACCCCUUUGAUGAUUCGGGCAGCUAGUGCCUGGCUGGUCGACUCUCCUCUGACAUGACAUACCUCACGGAAUCUACUGGAUGUAAUGCAUGGUGUACGCAUUUGGUUCCAUAGAGCAGACUGUGACUGGUCCCGUUUGUCUUUUCAAUUAUUGUGCUUAGUUCUUGAGUGACUGCCAAGCUUUCUAAGAACAACAUAUCAUGGAAAUUCGGGACAAAUUUAAAUCUUCCUUCAAAUGUAUACCCAUCCAGAGGAAGCGUAGGGAAAACAGGGGCUUCUGCAUGUUUGACAGCAUCCCUUGAUGACUCAGCAGGGCACUGAUAGGACAGCAAAGAACCUUUGGGUACUAGGCCAAACUUAGACUCCAUCAGAUUCAACUCUGACAAGCCAUGCAGAACCUUGCAGAUCAGUGGCUGAGGCCUGAUACUUAUUAAAGACUCCACAGAAGAGAGCAGCAAAUUAUUGGGAAGGGGACCUAAAAACAAAGGGGAAAAAAAGAGAAUAGAAAUAAUACUUUUAAAAGCCCUUUAGUUUGUAAAUCUUUUUGCUAGACAUAAAAUAAUGUAAAUGUAAUCACCUGUGUAGGCCCUGUAAAGAGUGGACUUAAUACCACUUCUGCUAGAGGUUUUUGGCUUCCUCACAAGUAAUCGAUCCACUGCUUCAGGAUGGAUUCCCUGUUAAAAAAAAAAUUGUUAUUACUGAGAGCAUGUUUAUAAACUUAAAAGGAUUUAU